rnacentral:rRNA from 1 species
GACGAACGCUGGCGGCGUGCCUAAUACAUGCAAGUUGAGCGCUGAAGGUUGGUACUUGUACCAACUGGAUGAGCAGCGAACGGGUGAGUAACGCGUGGGGAAUCUGCCUUUGAGCGGGGGACAACAUUUGGAAACGAAUGCUAAUACCGCAUAAAAACUUUAAACACAAGUUUUAAGUUUGAAAGAUGCAAUUGCAUCACUCAAAGAUGACCCCGCGUUGUAUUAGCUAGUUGGUGAGGUAAAGGCUCACCAAGGCGAUGAUACAUAGCCGACCUGAGAGGGUGAUCGGCCACAUUGGGACUGAGACACGGCCCAAACUCCUACGGGAGGCAGCAGUAGGGAAUCUUCGGCAAUGGACGAAAGUCUGACCGAGCAACGCCGCGUGAGUGAAGAAGGUUUUCGGAUCGUAAAACUCUGUUGGUAGAGAAGAACGUUGGUGAGAGUGGAAAGCUCAUCAAGUGACGGUAACUACCCAGAAAGGGACGGCUAACUACGUG